rnacentral:lncRNA from 10 species
ACUGCAGCUGGGCAGGCACACUCCUCGCAGACCCGGCGCUCUCCAAGGAGAAAAGAAAGUUAGUGGGCUUGGGGUACUAUGGCAGAAAUGGCCAGGGAAGGGUUUAUCUAACCACCAGGAGUACGCAAAGAAGAGAGGUCCAGCCAGCCUGCCUCUCAGAUUGUUAAGAUGCCAGGUGUCUUUUGGCUCAUGGAAACAGCUGUUCUGCCCCCUCCCGAACCCUAGACUCACAGCUACACUCUAUGGGGAAAGGACAAAGGGAAGGCUGCUUCCUGAAGAGAUCUCCAUAUGGAAGAGCUGCAGAUCACAAACAACCCACACAGCCAUUGUAACGCCUGCUUGCCUGGUCACUUGUGUUUCUGAGAAGCCAUAACUCCAAGAAUAGCGAAGGGAAGAAAAUGCCAAAAAGCAGGGGCUGCCUAACAGGUCUGACUUGCAAGGCAAACUCCUGGCAGGCCUGGCCAGCUUCUGCUUGUCCCAGUGCAAUCCCACCCCCAUAGGAUCUGGAAUUUUUCAGUCCCUUUGCUAAGAUUCCUGAAAUAGACUUAAUGAAGAGCCUCAGAAGUGAAAAUUCCUCUUCACACAUUUGCUCAAGAAGAUUGCUUUUCUCCUAACACAGAAAUCAGCUGCCUUGAGGAUGUGCAAGUUUGAUUAGGGAGUCUGCUCUUGCCUAUUUCUCAAACGGUUCAGGCCCUGACAGAAUCAGUGUCACCCCUAAGGUAUUUGCUUCAAAUGCCCCCCAUAUAAUCAAAACUUAUAAAUGAUAAACCAAAAGUUGAGGUACACUCAUUGCCUUUCAGAAUGAAACCUUCCAAGGGGCCAUGAUCAUAUUGUGACUGGACAAGAACUAUCAUGGAUGAGGCACAUCAUCUUUUGGAACCAUCUAUGGAACAGAUAUUAUUAUUCCAUUUUGCGGAAGAGGAAUCUGAGGCUCAGGCCAGACAGAUGCAGCUAACGUUGAGUGGCAUCCUGAUGAUCACCUUCAUCACAAAAGGAAGGAGUGCUCUGAGGACUGUAGGUGGCUCUCAGAACCCUGACCUCCACGGCAGCCAUCAAGGAGUGGCAAAGGGGGUCCACAGUGGCAUAUGCAGUGAGAUCCAAGUUUUAGGCAUUCGGAGUAGAGCAAGCCACGAAUGAGAACAGGUUCUGAAAGUGACAGAAAAGGAGUCACUUUUUUGGUUCCAUAUGAACUUUAAGGUAGUUUUUUCCCAGUUCUGUGAAGAAAGUCAUUGGUAGCUUGAUGGGGAUGGCAUUGAAUCUAUAAAUUACCUUGGACAGUAUGGCCAUUUUCAUGAUAUUGAUUCUUCCUACCCAUGAGCAUGGAAUGUUCUUCCAUUUGUUUGUAUCCUCUUUUAUUUCCUUGAGCAGUGGUUUGUAGUUAUCCUUGAAGAGGUUCUUCACAUCCCUUGUAAGUUGGAUUCCUAGGUAUUUUAUUCUCUUUGAAGCAAUUGUGAAUGGGAGUUCACUCAUGAUUUGGCUCUCUGUUUGUCUGUUGUUAGUGUAUAAGAAUGCUUGUGAUUUUUGUACAUUGAUUUUGUAUCCUGAGACUUUGCUGAAGUUGCUUAUCAGCUUAAGGAGAUUUUGGGCUGAGACAAUGGGGUUUUCUAGAUAUACAAUCAUGUCAUCUGCAAACAGGGACAAUUUGACUUCCUCUUUUCCUAAUUGAAUACCCUUUAUUUCCUUGUCCUGCCUAAUUGCCCUGGCCAGAACUUCCAACACUAUGUUGAAUAGGAGUGGUGAAAGAGGACAUCCCUGUCUUGUGCCAGUUUUCACAGGGAAUGCUUCCAGUUUUUGCCCAUUCAGUAUGAUAUUGGCUGUGGGUUUGUCAUAGAUAGCUCUUAUUAUUUUGACAUACGUCCCAUCAAUACCUAAUUUAUUGAGAGUUUUUAGCAUGAAGCGUUGUUGAAUUUUGUCAAAGGCCUUUUCUGCAUCUAUUGAGAUAAUCAUGUGGUUUUUGUCUUUGGUUCUGUUUAUAUGCUGGAUUACAUUUAUUGAUUUGUGUAUAUUGAACCAGCCUUGCAUCCCAGGGAUGAAGCCCACUUGAUCAUGGUGGAUAAGCUUUUUGAUGUGCUGCUGGAUUCGGUUUGCCAGUAUUUUAUUGAGGAUUUUUGCAUCAAUGUUCAUCAGGGAUAUUGGUCGAAAAUUCUCUUUUUUGGUUGUAUCUCUGCCCGGCUUUGGUAUCAGGAUGAUGCUGGCCUCAUAAAAUGAGUUAGGGAGUAUUCCCUCUUUUUCUAUUGAUUGGAAUAUCACCAAGUCCAUCCUAAGCCAAAAGAACAAAGCUGGAGGCAUCACACUACCUGACUUCAAACUAUACUACAAGGCUACAGUAACCAAAACAGCAUGGUACUGGUACCAAAACAGAGAUAUAGAUCAAUGGAACAGAACAGAGCCCUCAGAAAUAACACCGCAUAUCUACAAUUAUCUGAUCUUUGACAAACCUGACAAAAACAAGCAAUGGGGAAAGGAUUCCCUAUUUAAUAAAUGGUGCUGGGAAAACUGGCUAGCCAUAUGUAGAAAGCUGAAACUGGAUCCCUUCCUUACACCUUAUACAAAAAUCAAUUCAAGAUGGAUUAAAGACUUAAACGUUAGACCUAAAACCAUAAAAACCCUAGAAGAAAACCUAGGCAUUACCAUUCAGGACAUAGGCAUAGGCAAGGACUUCAUGUCUAAAACACCAAAAGCAGUGGCAACAAAAGCCAAAAUUGACAAACGGGAUCUAAUUAAGCUAAAGAGCCUCUGCACAGCAAAAGAAACUACCAUCAGAGUGAACAGGCAACCUACAAAAUGGGAGAAAAUUUUCGCAACCUACUCAUCUGACAAAGGGCUAAUAUCCAGAAUCUACAAUGAACUCAAACAAAUUUAC